UACGAAGGGGGCUAGCGUUGCUCGGAAUCACUGGGCGUAAAGCGCGCGUAGGCGGCCCGGUAAGUCCGCUGUGAAAGUCAAAGGCUCAACCUUUGAAUGUCAGCGGAUACUGCCGGGCUAGAGUCCGGAAGAGGCGAGUGGAACUCCUGGUGUAGCGGUGGAAUGCGCAGAUAUCAGGAGGAACACCGGUGGCGAAGGCGGUGGUCUGGGCCGGCACUGACGCUGAGGAGCGAAAGCGUGGGGAGCAAACAGG
rnacentral:rRNA from 1 species